GCCGGAGUGGUGGAAUGGCAGACACGCGGGAUUCAAAACCCCGUGGGGCAACCCGUGAGGGUUCGACUCCCUCCUCCGGCA
rnacentral:tRNA from 1 species